rnacentral:rRNA from 1 species
UACGUAGGUGGCAAGCGUUGUCCGGAUUUAUUGGGCGUAAAGGGCGCGUAGGCGGUCAGCACAAGUCAGUUGUGAAAUCUCCGGGCUUAACUCGGAAAGGUCAACUGAUACUGUGCGACUAGAGUGCAGAAGGGGCAACUGGAAUUCUCGGUGUAGCGGUGAAAUGCGUAGAUAUCGAGAGGAACACCUGCGGCGAAGGCGAUCUUCUGGACGGAUACUGACGCUGAGGCGCGAAAGCUAGGGGAGCAAACGGG